UACGGAAGGUGCAAGCGUUGUUCGGAUUGACUGGGCGUAAAGAGCACGUAGGCGGGUUCGUGUGUCGGUUGUGAAAUCCCUAGGCUCAACCUAGGAAUUGCAGUCGAAACUGCGAAUCUUGAAUGUCUGAGAGGCUGGCGGAAUUCCAGGUGUAGGAGUGAAAUCCGUAGAGAUCUGGAGGAACACCGGUGGCGAAGGCGGCUGGCUGGCAGUACAUUGACGCUGAGGUGCGAAAGCGUGGGGAGCAAAC
rnacentral:rRNA from 1 species